AGAUGUUAAAAUUAUGUCCUGAAUACAUAAAACCUUCCAUUGACAUAGAUUUUGAUCUGAAGCUAAACCAAUGAAAACCAAGUGGGUUUUUACGGAAAAUAUGUAAUUUGUUACAUCUGCUUCAGACCAAUGUAAGUACCAGACGUUUCUGUUACAACAAUGCUGAAAAAUGUGAAGCAAUGAUGAAUCAAGGAUAUUUUCUAUUCUAUAUUUCCUACGUUACUUCUUUCCACCUCAGCAGAAAUUAGUUACUGAUAAAGCCGGAGCCCAAACCAGAAAAAAGUUUACCGUAACAGACACCCAUAAUUCGUUUAACAUAGUUGCAGAAACCAAAGAGAAGCUGAAUAUGAAAUUAAAAUUCCUUGAAUAUAGUAAAAUCCA